GACGAACGUUGGCGGCGUGCUUAACACAUGCAAGUCGAACGGAAAGGCCCUGCUUUUGUGGGGUGCUCGAGUGGCGAACGGGUGAGUAACACGUGAGUAACCUGCCCUUGACUUUGGGAUAACUUCAGGAAACUGGGGCUAAUACCGGAUAGGAGCUCCUGCUGCAUGGUGGGGGUUGGAAAGUUUCGGCGGUUGGGGAUGGACUCGCGGCUUAUCAGCUUGUUGGUGGGGUAGUGGCUUACCAAGGCUUUGACGGGUAGCCGGCCUGAGAGGGUGACCGGCCACAUUGGGACUGAGAUACGGCCCAGACUCCUACGGGGGGCAGCAGUGGGGAAUAUUGCACAAUGGGCGGAAGCCUGAUGCAGCAACGCCGCGUGCGGGAUGACGGCCUUCGGGUUGUAAACCGCCUUCGCCUGUGACGAAGCGUGAGUGACGGUAAUGGGUAAAGAAGCACCGGCUAACUACGUGCCAGCAGCCGCGGUGAUACGUAGGGUGCGAGCGUUGUCCGGAUUUAUUGGGCGUAAAGGGCUCGUAGGUGGUUGAUCGCGUCGGAAGUGUAAUCUUGGGGCUUAACCCUGAGCGUGCUUUCGAUACGGGUUGACUUGAGGAAGGUAGGGGAGAAUGGAAUUCCUGGUGGAGCGGUGGAAUGCGCAGAUAUCAGGAGGAACACCAGUGGCGAAGGCGGUUCUCUGGGCCUUUCCUGACGCUGAGGAGCGAAAGCGUGGGGAGCGAACAGGCUUAGAUACCCUGGUAGUCCACGCUGUAAACGGUGGGUACUAGGUGUGGGGUCCAUUCCACGGGUUCCGUGCCGUAGCUAACGCUUUAAGUACCCCGCCUGGGGAGUACGGCCGCAAGGCUAAAACUCAAAGGAAUUGACGGGGCCCCGCACAAGCGGCGGAGCAUGCGGAUUAAUUCGAUGCAACGCGUAGAACCUUACCUGGGUUUGACAUGGAUCGGGAGUGCUCAGAGAUGGGUGUGCCUCUUUUGGGGUCGGUUCACAGGUGGUGCAUGGCUGUCGUCAGCUCGUGUCGUGAGAUGUUGGGUUAAGUCCCGCAACGAGCGCAACCCCUGUUCACUGUUGCCAGCACGUUAUGGUGGGGACUCAGUGGAGACCGCCGGGGUCAACUCGGAGGAAGGUGGGGAUGACGUCAAGUCAUCAUGCCCCUUAUGUCCAGGGCUUCACGCAUGCUACAAUGGCUGGUACAGAGAGUGGCGAGCCUGUGAGGGUGAGCGAAUCUCGGAAAGCCGGUCUCAGUUCGGAUUGGGGUCUGCAACUCGACCUCAUGAAGUCGGAGUCGCUAGUAAUCGCAGAUCAGCAACGCUGCGGUGAAUACGUUCCCGGGGCU
rnacentral:rRNA from 1 species